rnacentral:rRNA from 1 species
UACAGAGGUCCCAAGCGUUGUUCGGAUUCACUGGGCGUAAAGGGUGCGUAGGUGGCCAGGUAAGUUCGGUGUGAAAGCUCGGAGCUUAACUCCGAAAUGUCAUUGAAUACUAUCUGGCUUGAGGGUCGGAGGGGAGACUGGAAUUUACGGUGUAGCGGUGAAAUGCGUAGAUAUCGUAAGGAAGACCAGUGGCGAAGGCGGGUCUCUGGACAGUUCCUGACGCUGAGGCACGAAGGUCAGGGGAGCAAACGGG